rnacentral:rRNA from 1 species
UAGGGAAUCUUCGGCAAUGGACGAAAGUCUGACCGAGCAACGCCGCGCGAGUGAAGAAGGUUUUCGGAUCGUAAAACUCUGUUGUUAGAGAAGAACAAGGACGUUAGUAACUGAACGUCCCCUGACGGUAUCUAACCAGAAAGCCACGGCUAACUACGUGCCAGCAGCCGCGGUAAUACGUAGGUGGCAAGCGUUGUCCGGAUUUAUUGGGCGUAAAGCGAGCGCAGGCGGUUUCUUAAGUCUGAUGUGAAAGCCCCCGGCUCAACCGGGGAGGGUCAUUGGAAACUGGGAGACUUGAGUGCAGAAGAGGGGAGUGGAAUUCCAUGUGUAGCGGUGAAAUGCGUAGAUGUAUGGAGGAACACCAGUGGCGAGGGCGGCUCUCUGGUCUGUAACUGACGCUGAGGCGAGAAAGCGUGGGGAGCAAACAGG